AACGCGAAGAACCUUACCUGGGCUCGAACGGCUAUGGACAAUCUUUGGAAACAGGGACUUCUCGCAAGAGACUGUAGUCGAGGUGCUGCAUGGCUGUCGUCAGCUCGUGUCGUGAGAUGUUGGGUUAAGUCCCGCAACGAGCGCAACCCUUGUCCUGUGUUGCCAUCAUUAAGUUGGGCACUCUCAGGAGACCGCCAGCGAUAAGCUGGAGGAAGGUGGGGAUGAUGUCAAGUCAUCAUGGCCUUUAUGUCCAGGGCUACACACGUGCUACAAUGGGCAGUACAGAGGGAAGCGAUGCGGCGACGCGGAGCGGAUCCUCAAAGCUGUUCGUAGUCCGGAUUGGAGUCUGCAACUCGACUCCAUGAAGUUGGAAUCGCUAGUAAUCGCUGAUCAGCAUGCAGCGGUGAAUACGUUCCCGGGCCUUGUACACACCGUAGAGAC
rnacentral:rRNA from 1 species